UUGCGGAGACAGGAUUUGA
rnacentral:tRNA from 1 species